rnacentral:rRNA from 1 species
AUGAUCGAGGAAGGUGUGUGCUUCCAUGGCGGCGAGAAUGAAGGGACGGAGGAACUGCACUCUGCUGUAUGCAGAGCAGAACUGCACUCUGCUCGAUCAAGUGCAGGAGUAGGCACUGGAGCACAAACAGAGGCCAGCGCCGGCGUCCGCGGUCCACGGCCGGAAGUGUGGGGAAAUGUCAGGGAAGAAGCGAGGCGGAGGGGUGGGCACGAACGGGUGGUCUAG